UAACAUUGAUAAUUUGCUUUCACGAAUUUAUGCCACAGUAAAAGGAGAAGUAUCAAUACAUCACUCAUCAGAAAUCAUCACAACGAUAUGAAUAUUCGUUCUUAAGACACAGUGAAUCUAGUAAUAGCGUACGUACGUUCUUGACAUUGUAAUUCCGUCAUUACAAACAUAUAUAUAUCAGUAUUAAUAAAGAGUCAAGUCACCAAAAAUGCUGAUACAUUAUGAAAUUAUUGAACAUUAAUAUCAUACUUAGGUAAUUUUACUCAUUUGAACGUAGCAUCCAAGCUGGAAGAAGAGAGUUUGGUUCAAUCAACGACGAUGCACCGCCGUUCUCUCCCACAACUCUCUCCACAAGGCCAUCUCUGCCCAUUAAAUAAUUACACCUUUUCCUUUCUCUCAAGAAUCAUGAUAAUCAUCUGUGACACGCUGUACCAUGCGGUGACCACUUUAAAGGGCACCAUAACGAGUUUUUUUUUUUUUUUUUGGUAAAAGCACCAUAACGAGUUGAUUUACAAAUUACAAUGAAAGCAGAGUUGAGAAAUUUUGGAUAUAAGACUUUGUAAAUUCAUAAACCUAUUGAGAACAUUUACGAACAAUAUAACAUUGAUAAUUUGCUUUCACGAAUUUAUGCCACAGUAAAAGGAGAAGUAUCAAUACAUCACUCAUCAGAAAUCAUCACAACGAUAUGAAUAUUCGUUCUUAAGACACAGUGAAUCUAGUAAUAGCGUACGUACGUUCUUGACAUUGUAAUUCCGUCAUUACAAACAUAUAUAUAUCAGUAUUAAUAAAGAGUCAAGUCACCAAAAAUGCUGAUACAUUAUGAAAUUAUUGAACAUUAAUAUCAUACUUAGGUAAUUUUACUCAUUUGAACGUAGCAUCCAAGCUGGAAGAAGAGAGUUUGGUUCAAUCAACGACGAUGCACCGCCGUUCUCUCCCACAACUCUCUCCACAAGGCCAUCUCUGCCCAUUAAAUAAU
rnacentral:lncRNA from 1 species